UACGUGGGGUGCAAGCGUUGUCCGGAAUUAUUGGGCGUAAAGAGCUCGUAGGCGGUCUGUCGCGUCUGCUGUGAAAAUCCAGGGCUCAACCCUGGACCUGCAGUGGGUACGGGCAGACUAGAGUGCGGUAGGGGAGAUCGGAAUUCCUGGUGUAGCGGUGAAAUGCGCAGAUAUCAGGAGGAACACCGGUGGCGAAGGCGGAUCUCUGGGCCGUAACUGACGCUGAGGAGCGAAAGCAUGGGGAGCGAACAGG
rnacentral:rRNA from 1 species